CCCUGGCUCAGGACGAACGCUGGCGGCGUGCCUAAUACAUGCAAGUCGAGCGGAGUUGAUGAGAUGCUUGCAUCUCUGAUACUUAGCGGCGGACGGGUGAGUAACACGUGGGUAACCUGCCUGUAAGACUGGGAUAACAUUCGGAAACGAAUGCUAAUACCGGAUACGCGAUUUGGUCGCAUGAUCGAAUCGGGAAAGAUGGAGCAAUCUAUCACUUACAGAUGGACCCGCGGCGCAUUAGCUAGUUGGUGAGGUAACGGCUCACCAAGGCGACGAUGCGUAGCCGACCUGAGAGGGUGAUCGGCCACACUGGGACUGAGACACGGCCCAGACUCCUACGGGAGGCAGCAGUAGGGAAUCUUCCGCAAUGGACGAAAGUCUGACGGAGCAACGCCGCGUGAGUGAUGAAGGUUUUCGGAUCGUAAAGCUCUGUUGCCAGGGAAGAAUGCUUGGGAGAGUAACUGCUCCCAAGGUGACGGUACCUGAGAAGAAAGCCCCGGCUAACU
rnacentral:rRNA from 1 species